GUUUAUGUUUGCAGAGACAGAGGGAGGACCCUGCUUCCACCGCCGAUAACACACUGCCCUCGACACUCGCCAAACCGGGGGGGGGGGGGGCGGGGCGCUACGGUGGCCGCCGGCGCAGAGUGCGGAAUGUUAAAUCCACUGUGGCAUCUGGGAGAAUCCAAGGUGGAAUUACAGACAUUGGUACUGUUGGACUGACAUUCAACGGUUUAAGAAUAUCCUGUGCUGGAUGAUCCUUCCUGUGCCCUUGUAACCGUCCCCAAUAGUUUAUUUCUAAUUGUAUUCUCCUCAUUUCAAGUGACAUUUCCCAUGUCUACUUGUAACGCUGCUGAUGGUGUUGAUUUAAAUGCCCCUGUACACAAUCUUAGUGUCUGAUAUUGAAUCGUGUCUAACCUUUGUAAAGUCGUUUUUGCUGCUGACCCAUAUACUAUGCACCCAUAAUCCAGAACUGAUCUGAUCAGGCCUGUGUAGAUGGCCUUCAUCGCUGCUCUGUCAGCCCCCCACUCCUGUCCCACCAAACACCUCAUCACAUUCAGUACCUUUUUGCAUUUAUCUAUUACUUUUUGAAUAUGCACCUUCCAUGUUAAUUUCUCAUCAUACCAUAUCCCUAAAAACCUAAACUGUUUCACUGUCUCUAUUUCCUGGUUGUAUAAUUUUAAUUUAAUUUCAUUAUUAGUUCUUUUAUUUGUAAAACACAUUACUUUAGUCCAUGCCCACGUUUCCACUCUUGUUACCUUCCCCUCAUAUUCAAUUCCAGUAUCUACCAUUAUCGGGUAAUGAUCACUGUCAAUUGUUGUAUUUCUAAUAACUUCCCAUGUACAAGUAUUUGCCAGCGUAUCAGAUACCAGUGUCAGAUCAAUGGAGGACUCUACUCCUGUUCUCGCAUCUAUUCUUGUUCCACUUCCAUCAUUCAAGCAUACUAGAGUCUAGUACAUCCUAGAGUUUUUAAUUCCCUAUGAAGCAUCCAGACCCCUCAGGUCGUCAGGGGCCGGUUUACUGCGUGUUCCCUGAACCAAAACCACACAAAGUGAAGCAGCAUUCAGUUAUGAUGCUCCUCACCUGUGGAACAAACUUCCUGAACACCUGAGAUGUGCUCAAACACUCAGGUCUUUUAAAUCAGGCCUAAAAACACUGUUGUUCUCUGCAGCUUAAAUUAAUCUUAAUAAUUAUUUUUUGUCUUUUAAAUGCACUUUUAUUGCUAUUAAAUCAUGUUUUAUCGC